rnacentral:lncRNA from 1 species
CCCUGAGCUGCUCUGCGGUGCUACCCUUUGUCCCUCCAGACUCUCUUUUCCUUCAUCUGUUUGUCAGUAAACCGAAGCCACCACAGUUUGUCAUUUGGAUGAUUUUCGCCAGAUGGAGAAGCUGCAGCUCCAGACUCUUGACAGCCGCACAACUUCCAAGGCAGUGGCCCCGCGGGCUGCAAACCCCACCUUCCUGCAGUUGCAGAGCCAGCUAAGAGGUGGGCAGCAUGCCAGGCCCCAUCAGCAGCCCCUGGAGCACACACCAAUUGCAGAUGCUCAGGAGACUCGGGGGAAGGAACGGGGUUUUCACCAGAACACCACAGGCAGGACCUCCCAGCAAAGGCCUCCAGAUGCUGUGAAAACCUAAGGCUCGUCCUCCUCCUGGCUUCCCAGGUUACCCAGCCACAACACACAGGUGAGAACCAUCUCAAGACCUCCCCACUUUUGGGCUCCCUUACCCUGACUCAU